UACGGGGGGGGUAAGCGUUGUUCGGAAUUACUGGGCGUAAAGGGCUCGUAGGCGGCCAACUAAGUCAGACGUGAAAUCCCUCAGCUUAACUGGGGAACUGCGUCUGAUACUGGAUGGCUUGGAUUUGGGAGAGGGAUGCGGAAUUCCAGGUGUAGCGGUGAAAUGCGCAGAUAUCAGGAGGAACACCAAUGGCGAAGGCAGCUCGCUGGGACGGUACUGACGCUGAGACGCGAAAGCGUGGGGAGCAAACAGG
rnacentral:rRNA from 1 species